rnacentral:rRNA from 2 species
UUAAAUUGAAGAGUUUGAUCAUGGCUCAGAUUGAACGCUGGCGGCAGGCCUAACACAUGCAAGUCGAACGGUAACAGGAAGAAGCUUGCUUCUUUGCUGACGAGUGGCGGACGGGUGAGUAAUGUCUGGGAAACUGCCUGAUGGAGGGGGAUAACUACUGGAAACGGUAGCUAAUACCGCAUAACGUCGCAAGACCAAAGAGGGGGACC